AUCCGACUGCAACGCUUUAUCCAAAAGGUAUAUAUCCAAAACUUUAGAUAAUUCCAAAAGUUAUCCGGUUCAAAGUUGUGUAAAUGUAAUCCCGGGAGCCCAAGAAAGCACGUCCUAACAGGCCGAAGUCAGAGAGAGCAAUGACAUAUCCAACAUCUCUACUGUGACCUGGUUCAAGCUCCGCCUCUUAGAUCCCUCCCAAACAAGAGGUGUGAGAAAAAUCACAGCACAUGUCAGCGCUAGCUCUGAGAAAAGCGACCACUCACCUUGAAGAGCUGUCCGAAAUGCAACCGCUGAACAGAGCACACGGGCCCAGGGGUUGACUCCUCCUCCUUGCACGCCCUAGAUGACGCGCGCACGGUGGAUUGGUCUACGCUCUAUUCACUACCUGUACGAGCGACAGAUUGGUCCACACAUACACACACUCGCACGUAAACUCCUCCCAUACUCUGGCCGCGUCCGUUUUAAAAGACCAUGAGCUCACAGACUGAGUGCAGACAGUGUGGAUUUUAAGGAUCAGGUCCGCGGAUUGAAUUUUGGAUCUAUACGGAUUUAUUAUUGUGUUAAUUUGGGAGCUUAAUUUAAAAGUGGAGUUCAUCGGAUUAUCAACAUUGUUCAGCGUGUGGAAAUAUGUGGAUUUAUCAUCAUGUUUGUUCAUUCUGAAUCGCGAAAACAGUUCAUUGGGUUUUGAGGAUUAUGCCGUUUCUUGUGGAAUAUCAUGCAUUCAUCACAAGGAAAUCCGAGACAUGAAGUUUUAUAAUUUCAACAGUAAGGAUUAUGUGUUUUAUCAACGCUGGGUACACCUGUGGAAAUAUGAGAAUUUAUCAAUGAUCUCCUCAUCGCACUGCUCAUUGGAUUAUGUGCUUUAUCACCGAUCUGUUCAAUCAUAGCGUCUGAUCCACAAAACGUGUCAUUGGGUGUUUUAUCAGUGUCCUCUCCAGCGCGAGGAAAUAUGUGGAUUUAUCAUCAGGUUUGUUCAUUCUGAAUCACGAAAACAGCUCAUUGGAUUUUGAGGAUUAUGUCGUUUCGGCAUUUGUGGAAUAUCAUGCAUUCACCACAAGGAAAUCCGAGACAUGAAGUCUUAUAAUUUCAACAGGGUGCGCAACGUUAAGUGGAUGUAAACAGAGAACUUGUAACGGUUUUUAAACACGGGAGGAUAAUCGUGAAAAAGCGUUCUGGACAACAUCUGAUAAGCGUGAACUGUUGUUAUCCUUAACACCAGAGGGGAAUCGUGAAAUACAUCAUGAACAACAGCUGAGCUGAUAAAGCGUGAACUGUUGUUAUCCUUAACACCAGAGGGGAAUCGUGAAAUACAUCAUGAACAACAGCUGAGCUGAUAAGGUUGUUGUUAACCGCGCUGAAGGACAACCGUGAAACCCCUGACAGCAACUAAUAUUGGUAACAAAGCACCUUUUAAAUGAAUGUUAUCCAGAUUAUCAAUGGAAAAGACACAACGCAAGUUAUGCAAUAUAUCAUAAUUACUGAUUUCUUUUUAUUAAUUUGAUUGUUAUUAUUUUUAUUCAUUUGACUGUUAUUUUACAGUUGUUAUUUGUAAUAAUAGUAUGGGUUGUUGUUAUUAAAAUCUCUUCAGCGUCACCAACCCCAGCGGUGGGAUCCCCAAAAACCAUUACCUAGACUAAUCUUGACAAACUACAUAUCAUUUGAAAUCUUACAUUCUCUAGUUUUCAUAUUUGAUGAUUACUUUUUAUUUGUUUUUAUUAAUUUGACUGUUAUUUGUAAU